AUAAAGAUCAACAUCUGUCUAUUCUCUUUGGAAUAUACUGAUGUUGAUCUUUAUCA
rnacentral:pre_miRNA from 1 species